rnacentral:rRNA from 1 species
UACGUAGGGGGCAAGCGUUAUUCGGAAUCAUUGGGCGUAAAGGGCGCGUAGGCGGCCUUGCAAGUCAAAGGUGAAAUCCCUCGGCCUAACCGAGGAACUGCCUUUGAUACUGCAUGGCUCGAGGCCGGGAGAGGGUAGCGGAAUUCCCAGUGUAGCGGUGAAAUGCGUAGAUAUUGGGAGGGACACCAGUGGCGAAGGCGGCUACCUGGACCGGUUCUGACGCUGAUGCGCGAAAGCGUGGGGAGCAAACAGG